CGGGAAAUGGCUCAGUUUGGUAGAGUGCUGCGUUCGGGACGCAGAGGUCGCAAGUUCAAAUCUUGUUUUCCCGA
rnacentral:tRNA from 1 species